AAUGGUGAUGGGCUGGGGUUGGGCUGAGACUCUCAGUGCAGUCCUAUCCCAUCAGGUUGUGCAGUGGAGGAGCCCAGCCCCGUGCCGGGCAGCACUCCAUGUUCCCGGCCUGCUGCGGCGCUCAGAGCACUGGCACAGCGCUCUGCUGGAGUUACUCAUCGCUCCCAUCAGCAGCCCUCACCCAGCGCCCAUCUGCGGCUGCAGGACAGCGCCGUUCAUCAGCGGCGUGAGUCGGGGCUGGAGUGUGUGCAGCGGGGCCUCAGCUGUGUGCCCAUCGCCGUGCAUCCCUCGCCGUGCUGCGUGUGCUGCAGGAUGGGGCUGCACACGAGCGUGCAAAGUGCUGGGAGCAGAAGGAGCUGCAGCCUGGUGAGAGAGCACAUCUCUUCCCUCGGCUCAGGAUGAGUUCUGCCUUGCAUUUUGGUGAGCUAUGGCAAGAAACGCAAUAGCACAGGAGCAAAAAUCACUGCACCUCAGGCUCAGAGCGGUUGGAAGGGACCUGUGGGGCUCCCCCAGCCCGGCCCCAUCCUGCAGGGCCCGCAUGUCCCAGCAGCCAGGUUGGGAUGGGGGGAUUCAGAGCACCUGGAAACCCCAGCGUGGCACAGUUGUUCAGCAGCCGCCUCCGAGCAGCUUGAUGGAUGGCGGGCCGGUCCCACCCGCAGCCAGAUGACAGCUCCUCGCAUCAGCCGCUGUGAUAAAUAGCAAUUACAGACAGGAGCACUGCCACUCACAUUUGCCUAAGUGAGGAGCGGAAUCAUACAUCUCCGCUGAUUACAUAUCAAUGAUGCGCUGGAGGCCUUCGCAACUUUUAGAUCCGCUUAAGAUAUGCCGCCCUGAUUUAGACGGCGAUUUGCAUACAAUUUACCCAUAAAGCCUUACUUUGAAAAGCAU
rnacentral:lncRNA from 7 species